UGAUAUUCUGUACAGCCACACAAAAAAAGUACUACUCCACAUAUUUCAGGUUUAGAGAAGUCUUCCAACAGAAUUUUGGGGAGUGUAACCCAGAUUUGGUAAUCCACAGUUGACUCACCCACUCCAUAUUAAUCCCUCCUGUGUAAGCUAAAGCAGCUGAAUGCAACUCCUCCCCUGGUGCUGUGGUCAUCUUAAUUAACACACACUCCUCUUGAGUUCUGAACUAGCAAGUACAUUAAAAGAAAAUAUCUCUAUCCACAAGGAAAUUACAUAAUUUGGGAAUGAGAGAAGGGAAAAGAGAUCUGAAGGAAGCAGAUACUGCAGAGAGUGCUCCAAUUUUGAAAAAAAUAAUAUCUUCAUGCUUUCUGGGUUAGGUGGAAUGUUGGGUAAUGAAAACACAGGAAGGCCUAAGCCAAAGGGAUUUUAGAGGUUAUACUAAAGGGAUUGGUUGGAUACUGGCUAAGAACACAUUGUGUUGCAAGCAAAGCUGUUUGUAGCCCUUUUCCCUAAAUUUCCCCAAAUUACUUCCUGAUGGGAUGUGCUCUCUGCCGCAGAUCUGGAUGUAGAAGAUCAUCAGAUGGUGACUAAUUUCACACAGAUCUGUAGCAGAGCCCUGAUCUCUGUCAGCCAUGAGCAAGGCUGUGCCUCACUCCUGAACCCUCUGCUUCUGCCUGUUCCCAUGGCAAACACAACUGCAGAUCUCACCUGAAAGGAGGUGUUCUGGAUCCCUCUCUCUACACCAAACCCCCAGAAUGCCUUCCCAGCACAGAGACAGGGGAUGAGAUCCAGCAUUGCUGGGGUGACAAAUUCCUGCCCGUGGCUCAGCACAUCUGGAGACAUCCCCAGAUCCAUGGGGGCAGAGCUGUGGAGGUGUUGGCAGACACUCACCGGUUCAUUUCAUGUUUUUCAGAGAUCACUCAUUGUGUUUGAUGUUCCAGAAAAGCAUAGGAUGAUCCUAACCUUUUGCUACCCAUUUUUCACAACAGAAUUUGGCUUGAGAGUUCACGCUUUAGUGAGCAACAGAAACUUGAAACUGCCUCUAAGCACCUACUGUAUCAGGAUGAGAUGUCACCACGUUGAUUUACUUCAGAAAUAUCCUUUCCUAGCUUUUUGUUUGCCCUGUGCACAAAGCACGAUCCUCCUUGCCCGAGUGCAGCGGUGUUUGUAUCGGGUCUGGAAGGCCAUCUAGUGACACAACUGCGCAGGGGAAAAUGAAAAGCCUUGCUCGAAUUGUGGUUUGGGUUUUUUUUUUUUUUCCUACUUGAAUUAAACGGUCUUGCUACACCCUAGCGUGUCCUUAGGGGUUUGUUGCUAUUUCCACAAGUGGUAUUUAAAAAAAAAAAAAGUUGAGGGAAUUUUUAUUUCUUAUAAACAAACUUACUUAAGAUAGAGUACACUGCUAAUUCCUGCCAGGAAAGAAACGUGGGGUUUUUUUGUGCUGAAUGGUGAUGGAUUUGCACCUGAGCAGGUCUGUCCAAAACUCAGUGUCACUCCCCUGACCUGUGCAUUGGAACCAAACAUAAUUUAGCAGUUAUGAUCCCCAUCAUAAGAGCCAAACAUACCCAGUGGUUGUGAUCCCCUGCGAUCCAUGGUACCAAAAACGCCACAUGGAAGCCUGGGGCCAUCGCAUCCCUGCAAUUAAAAUGAGAAAUUCCAGUUAUUUUCAUUGCAGCUCACCUUGGAUGGUGAGCAGAUGACGAGCAGAGCUGUCGGUUCUUUCCC
rnacentral:lncRNA from 14 species